rnacentral:RNase_P_RNA from 1 species
AGUGGGACGGAUCGUCGCUUGGGGGAACCCCGAGAGGAAAGUCCGGGCUCCACAGGGCAGGACGCCGGGUAACACCCGGGAGGGGCGACCCUCUGACAGCGCCACAGAAAGCAAACCGCCCAUAUUGGGUAAGGGUGAAACGGUGGUGUAAGAGACCACCAGAUCCGGCAGCAAUGCCGGAUGCUCGGCAUACCACGUCCGGAGCAAGACCAAAUAGGGGAGGCGGCCUGCCCGGCCACAUGUCUCCCGGGUCGGUUGCUAGAGGGCACAGGCGACUGUGUCUCCAGAGGAAUGACGGUCCCGCGAUCCCUGACGGAUCGUACGACAAAACCCGGCUUACAGUUCCGCUCC